UACGUAGGGGGCAAGCGUUGUCCGGAUUUAUUGGGCGUAAAGAGCGUGUAGGCGGCCAAGUAAGUCUGCUGUGAAAACUCGAGGCUUAACCUCGAGCUGUCGGCGGAAACUAUUUGGCUAGAGUCCGGAAGAGGAGAAUGGAAUUCCCGGUGUAGCGGUGAAAUGCGUAGAUAUCGAGAGGAACACCUGCGGCGAAGGCGGGUAGCUGGGCCGACACUGACGCUGAGGCGCGAAAGCCAGGGGAGCGAACGGG
rnacentral:rRNA from 1 species